CAGCUCGGCAGUUCUGGAUAGUACUGGGAUCCUAUCAUUUACUGUUUUUCCAAACACUCUAUUACCCUUUGUGUAUCUUAGUUUGCAAGAAAAAUUAUCUUCCGUCUCUUGUCUCUGGCCCCAAGAAAUUCUUCUGCUCAAUUAUUAUAUGGUUUGAAAAAGUUACUUCAGUAUAGGACAAGCGAUCAAACAAGGGAUCUGACCGAAGACAAUUUGCUUGUCAUGUUGUUGUGCGUGUAUCUGUGGGUUAGGCCGCUGGUGUUGAGUAACUUGGAUUAAUGGCUGCUUUAAAGGAUGACCCAGUUCUUGGAAUUGAUGGUAGACUAAAGGAAGAGGGACUAGACAAGGCAGGUUUGGUAAGAGAGGAAGCUUGUGAGAGAGAUAUGGUUCCUCCUGCAGGCAAUUCCAUUCAAUGGUCUGCUUCCAGGCCACAGCUUGACAUGAGCAAGGCUGCAAUUCAAGGGAAUUCCGAGUAGAAGAGAGGGAUCCUACAAUUCUGUUGCCUAAUAAAUCUGAUGAUAUCUCCCCAUUUGGCUCUUGAUAUUGGAGGUAUAUAUACAAUUCUUCAUCCACAGUUGGUUCUCGCUCUCUGGUGGUUCACUUGUGACUGUGGUUGCUUUUAUGGAUGGAAAUUAACUUCUCUUCUUUCCA